ensembl:lncRNA
UACGCUCAAAACAGCACUAGCAUAACGCAAGAGUUGAAUUAAUCGGUCGUAUUUGUUAACGCGGUAGUAUGCGCAUGUCUAACGCAGCCAUGACGACGAGUAAAAACGUUACAGCAGCUAACGUGUUGUUUAGCCAUAUUUAAUUCGGGAUGCUAGCACGCGGUUUGGGCCGAAAAAAAGCCCUCGGUUCCUGCAAUAUGGAGUGGUUUUGCCUCGUGGCGAGCGUUUGGCGGCGCUCUCCGUUAUUCUCCGGACUCUUCUCCGAGCGCCCCGCGGUGUCCGCGGCUCUACCAAGCCGGAGCGCGGCGGUCUUUAGGCGGCGCUCUUCACUUUUCUCCGUAGCAUCUGCACGACCGUUAGAGCCUCUUCCACGCGGUUUUCUGCCGAAUGAAGAAAUCAACACGGACAAUUCGCGACUUUUUCUGAAAGAUUUGGGCGAUUAUAUAAACGCCGCGAGUGAGGGAUUGUAUCUUUUUUCUCUAGCCGUUGUCUUCCGCAGUGUGUGCAUGCUGACCCGCCCCUAGGGGUCACGUGCCGUUUUUCGGAGGCGCUGAUUGGACGUGGAAGCUGUCAGUAAAAAAAAACUUGUUCAGCGCAAACGGAAGACAGUUUGAGCUCCGUAUGUGAGCGCGAGUGUGUGUGUGAGAGAGAGCCGUUAUCACACUGCACCAUUAC